UACGUAGGGGGCAAGCGUUGUCCGGAUUUAUUGGGCGUAAAGCGCGUGUAGGCGGCUUGGUAGGUCAGCUGUGAAAACUCGAGGCUCAACCUCGAGCUGUCGGUUGAAACCACCUUGCUAGAGUCCGGAAGAGGAGAGUGGAAUUCCUGGUGUAGCGGUGAAAUGCGUAGAGAUCGGGAGGAAUACCAGAGGCGAAAGCGGCGGCCUGGACAGUUACUGACACUCAACUGCGAAAGCGUGGGAGCAAACAGG
rnacentral:rRNA from 1 species